rnacentral:rRNA from 1 species
UGAGGAACAUGACCUUCGGCGGGGGAUAGCCGGCCCAACGGCCGGGUAAUACCGCGUACGACCACAUGGGGGCAUCCCUGAGUGUUGAAAGCAGCAAUGCGCCGAUGGAGUGCCUCGCGGCCUAUCAGCUAGUUGGUGAGGUAACGGCUCACCAAGGCAACGACGGGUAGCUGGUCUGAGAGGAUGGCCAGCCACAUUGGGACUGAGAUACCGGCCCAGACCUGUACGGGGAG